CGCCAGCAUCAUCGGCUGGUUCAUCGCCUCUGUGUCGAUCAUCCCAUUGCUAGUUUAUAUGAUUCUGGCUGUGAAGAAGCAUAUGGCGUCACAUACGUUCAGACAGAGUAUCCAAAUGGCUCUUCGCCCCGAGGAUGUGUGGCGUCCUUCUGAUCCCCUGUACAGGGGGAAUUACCGAGACAACCUUGUACAUACACAGUAUUCCUUGAAGGACCAUAUGACAAGUGUGUUUACAAAGUAACAUGUCAGUGAUCAAAAGCUCGUAAUAUCUUGGCAUCAUAACAUUGCAAUACCUCCGUCAUCUGCCACCAGUUAUUAGAAAAUCAAUCUUCAUUGUACUUUGUAUGUUUACGGUAUAAUGUUCCUUUCGCUAGACAGGGAGUUGUUAGUCAUUGAUUCCGGGACAGGCAUAACAUGUGAUCAACAUUAUGAACAACGACCUCCGUCUGAGUAUACCGCCCAUGUCGAAGAAGAUAUCUGUAUAUUUCAGUGAUAAUUGACAUUAAAUUUGCAAUCAAUCUUUGAACUUGUAUUACGUUUGUUUUAGGCGGUGUUUUAAUUAAGCUUGGGAUCCUAUUUAACUGUCGUCAUUAGCUUUGUGUUGUCAGGAUGCUGGUUAUCUUCAAUAAACAGAGUGAGUGUA